UAGUUACGUUGUUUGUAAUUACGAAUUAGAUCAUGGUCCCUAAGAUAAACUAAACUAUGAAAGCAGGUGUGUCGAAAAGAUAGACUAUAAACUUUGCCUCAAGGGCAUCUCCUUAAGGUAAUCUUUGGCAAUACCUUCAUUUAGUCAACAAGGCAGACGUUGUCAGUUGCUGCAGAGGCGGAGUUGGAGACUCGUCUUACUUGUGAGGAAGUUAGUUCUUGUAUUGGUUCAUAUCGGCAGGAGUCAACUGGUCAGCCCCACAGGAUAUCUAAGAUGCAGCAUUCAGCCGCUUGCAGUCCACUGUCAUCAACACUGAGAGAUUCCAUCCUUCAGUGCAGCCCUAUUCGGAAAUCGUGCUGCCAGUGCGAUUCGCCGUGGAGAGCACUGUCCCAGGCGGAUUCAGGGCGGAAUUCGUGCUGCCAGUGUCGUUCAGUGCGGAAAUCGCCUUCGCUCCGCGAUCAUUCGCGCAGUUCGUUCUCUCAGCAGGGACGCUCUAGAACAGCGCCAUUUCAGUGCGAACUGUCGAUGAUAUCGCCCUCCCGUCGCGAUUCGCAGCGCGCACCGCCUUCGCAUUGCGGUUGCUCGAAGUCGCGUUUCAGCAUCGAACCAGUACCACAAAUGUCUCUCGUGCCGCUCAACAAUUCGAGUAGACAGUGCCAGGCAAUGGGAUUCAACGCCCCUACCAGCCCUCAAUUCCAGGUGGUGAGGCAGCACAGAGUGGAGAAGACAACUACAAUGACUGCAGAAUAUCAGAUGAUGACGCUGUUUGAACAAACCUCCGUACAGAUUUUGCCGCGGCAGUGGAUGUAAUUUCUGCAGACUUCUUGGGCUUCUGCAGCGCCAGAAACAGAGGCCAGCAACAAGUGACGUCACUGCUGCGCAGUAUGGAGACGUCCUCGGCCUGCGGUGGACCCCGACCAACGCCAGGAGAGGGGACGACUCGUACCCCUUGGCGAACAUCGUGUGCCCAGUGUGAAACAGUGCUAGUUUAUUAAAAUUUAUUUUUAAAUGUGCUUUAGACAAAAGGUCCCAAGUUUCUUUUGACAAGAGUAAAAUGGCAAGUCUGUAAUAGAGAAUAAUUAGUGAUAAUUUUAUGAUCUUUUACUUUUUAAAAAAUUACUUCUGCAUAUUUAAAUUGUAAGCUCUGAUGUGAUACUGUAAGCACUAGUUCUGAUUUUCAUAUUAUAAAAACUCAAUUCAUUUGCAGGCAAUGUGUUUAAUUACUGUUAGUGUUCUAGUGCAAUAAAGUUACUUAGAAUUUUA